GGAGCCAAGGGGGAAUCUUGGCCCUCUGAAGUUUCACUGAAAAAUCAACUUGCAAAGGCACAAUACACAGGAGUCUUCAGAAGGAAGACCCAACCUGACAAUAAGGAAACCGAUCGCCAGGCCUCUCAGAUGCCAUCGGGGAGCUGAGGCUUUCUAGAUCACUGCACCCAGACAAUGAGAUGCAUCUGUUGCCUGUUGAUCAAUUCCCCUUCUUACCCCUCCCUAAUUCCUAUUUUCUUAUACGUGGUUACAAUAAGACGCUGGACCCUUCAUUCAACCACCUGCUGCCUGUUGACCAACUCCUCUUCCUUGCCCCUUCUGUUUUCCUUCCCAGCUAUGUAAACCCCUGACCUUAGUUGAGAGGGAGGGAUGGAUUUGAGACUUGGCUCCCAUCUCCCUGGUUGACAUCACCCAUAAAAUAAUAAAGCCUUGUUCCCU
rnacentral:lncRNA from 10 species